CACGUAGGGAGCAAGCGUUGUCCGGAUUUAUUGGGCGUAAAGAGCUCGUAGGUGGUUCGAUAAGUCGGGUGUGAAAACUCUGGGCUCAACUCAGAGACGCCACUCGAUACUGUCGUGACUGGAGUCUGGUAGGGGAGUGUGGAAUUCCCAGUGUAGGCGGUGAAAUGCGCAGAUAUUGGGAGGAACACCAGUGGCGAAGGCGGCACUCUGGGCCAGUACUGACACUGAGGAGCGAAAGCGUGGGGAGCGAACAGG
rnacentral:rRNA from 1 species